UACAGAGGCCUCAAGCGUUGUUCGGAUUCAUUGGGCGUAAAGGGUGCGCAGGCGGUCGGGUAAGUCGGAUGUGAAAUCCUGGGGCUCAACCUCAGAACUGCAUUCGAUACUGCUUGGCUAGAGGAUUGGAGAGGAGAGUGGAAUUCACGGUGUAGCAGUGAAAUGCGUAGAGAUCGUGAGGAAGACCAACGGCGAAGGCAGCUCUCUGGACAAUUCCUGGACGCUCAGGCACGAAGGCCAGGG
rnacentral:rRNA from 1 species